CAGAGAUCACAGAGUUCCAGGCAUGGAUGGAGCGGGUUAUCCUGCAUAACGAGACCGUGGAGUACAACGCCAACAUUGAGUCGCUGAUCCUCGAUCUCUGACGCAAAAUCAUUGGUAGCAGUGAUUCGAACUAUUCUUCGUCCCACUACAGUGGGCGCUCAAGGGGACGUGGCUUGCGGAUCAGCAACAUUGUGCAGGCCCAGAUCGAGCAACUCUUCACGGCCGUGGCCUAGAACGCCAUUUGUAGCUUCGAUGUCACCUGCCUGGGAUCACUACCGCUGAAAGACAAGGUGACGAGCCUGCAGUGUUUGCAGGAGCCACUGCGUCAGCUCUAUCUGUCGGAGUUGGCCAAUAAGAAACUCUUCUUCGGCUCUUUGGAAAUCUGUGCCACGGGACUACGGCUAAAGGUCAGUGCUACGGUCAUCUCGAAAGGAGCCAGUCCCGACGGAGCGGAGGAGAAUGAGGCCCAUUAUUACGCCCUUCCACAAAAUUGCCGUGUGGUCACCUUGGUCAGAAUUAAACUCUUGUCUGCGUGAAUCACAUCAUCAAAAGGGACUUCCCGGGACUAUGACCCCAAGUAGUGGACAACAUCAGCUAUCUAUCUGCAGAAUCGUGAUAUCAACGGCUCGAAUGGUAUGGAAGUCCCAGCAAUAGAGUUAGUGAAAAUUACCAAAAAUUCGCUGAGUGGUAGCCUACGUUCAUCUGAGUGGUAGCCUGGGGUUGUUUCUCAAGAUCCUCGACCAGUACUGUAAUCGUAUCUACGUUUCGCCGCGUGUCCUCACGAAUGUGCUUAACUAUCUGAAGAAUGCUGUAAGCCAUGCCUAUACCUGGAAGCUAAUAAAGCCGCACAUGGUGGCAGUUAUUCAGGAUGCGAUAUUCCCCAUCAUGUCAUUCACCGACCCACUACAGUGGGCGCUCAAGGGGACGUGGCUUGCGGAUCAGCAACAUUGUGCAGGCCCAGAUCGAACAACUCUUCACGGCCGUGGCCUAGAACGCCAUUUGUAGCUUCGAUGUCACCUGCCUGGGAUCACUACCGCUGAAAGACAAGGUGACGAGCCUGCAGUGUUUGCAGGAGCCACUGCGUCAGCUCUAUCUGUCGGAGUUGGCCAAUAAGAAACUCUUCUUCGGCUCUUUGGAAAUCUGUGCCACGGGACUACGGCUAAAGGUCAGUGCUACGGCCAUCUCGAAAGGAGCCAGUCCCGACGGAGCGGAGGAGAAUGAGGCCCAUUAUUACGCCCUUCCACAAAAUUGCCGUGUGGUCACCUUGGUCAGGUAAGAUUAGUAGAU